UUUCCGGUUGAUCCUGCCGGACCUGACUGCUAUCGGAUUGAUACUAAGCCAUGCGAGUCAUUGUAGUAAUACAAGGCAGACGGCUCAGUAACGCGUAGUCAACCUAACCUAUGGACGGGAAUAACCUCGGGAAACUGAGUAUAAUGCCCGAUAGAACAUUAUGCCUGGAAUGGUUUAUGUUCCAAAUGAUUUAUCGCCGUAGGAUGGGACUGCGGCCUAUCAGUUUGUUGGUGAGGUAAUGGCCCACCAAGACUAUUACAGGUACGGGCUCUGAGAGGAGUAGCCCGGAGAUGGGUACUGAGACACGGACCCAGGCCCUAUGGGGCGCAGCAGGCGAGAAAACUUUGCAAUGUGCGAAAGCACGACAAGGUUAAUCCGAGUGGUUUGUGCUAAACGAACCUUUUGUUAGUCCUAGAAACACUAACGAAUAAGGGGUGGGCAAGUUCUGGUGUCAGCCGCCGCGGUAAAACCAGCACCUCAAGUGGUCAGGAUGAUUAUUGGGCCUAAAGCAUCCGUAGCCGGCUCUGUAAGUUUUCGGUUAAAUCUGUACGCUCAACGUACAGGCUGCCGGGAAUACUGCAGAGCUAGGGAGUGGGAGAGGUAGACGGUACUCGGGAGGAAGGGGUAAAAUCCUUUGAUCUUUCGAUGACCACCUGUGGCGAAGGCGGUCUACCAGAACACGUCCGACGGUGAGGGACGAAAGCUGGGGGAGCGAACCGGAUUAGAUACCCGGGUAGUCCCAGCCGUAAACGAUGCGAGCUAGGUGUUGGAAUGGCUACGUGCCAUUUCAGUGCCGCAGGGAAGCCAUUAAGCUCGCCGCCUGGGGAGUACGGCCGCAAGGCUGAAACUUAAAGGAAUUGGCGGGGGAGCACCACAAGGCGUGAAGCUUGCGGUUCAAUUGGAUUCAACGCCGGG
rnacentral:rRNA from 1 species